rnacentral:rRNA from 1 species
GACGAACGCUGGCGGCGUGCCUAACACAUGCAAGUCGAGCGAGUGGAGUUCUUCGGAACAAAGCUAGCGGCGGACGGGUGAGUAACACGUGGGCAACCUGCCUCAUAGAGGGGAAUAGCCUCCCGAAAGGGAGAUUAAUACCGCAUAAGAUUGUAGCUUCGCAUGAAGUAGCAAUUAAAGGAGCAAUCCGCUAUGAGAUGGGCCCGCGGCGCAUUAGCUAGUUGGUGAGGUAACGGCGCACCAAGGCGACGAUGCGUAGCCGACCUGAGAGGGUGAUCGGCCACAGUGGGACUGAGACACGGCCGAGACUCCUACGGGAGGCAGCAGUGGGGAAUAUUGCACAAUGGGGGAAACCCUGAUGCAGCAACGCCGCGUGAGUGAUGACGGCCUUCGGGUUGUAAAGCUCUGUCUUCAGGGACGAUAAUGACGGUACCUGAGGAGGAAGCCACGGCUAACUACGUGCCAGCCGCCGCCGUAACAC